rnacentral:rRNA from 1 species
UACGUAGGGGGCGAGCGUUGUCCGAAGUUACUGGGCGUAAAGCGCGUGUAGGCGGCUCGAUAAGUCUGCUGUGAAAGUCCAGGGCUCAACCCUGGGAUGCCGGUGGAUACUGUCGAGCUCGAGUCCGGAAGAGGAGUGUGGAAUUCCUGGUGUAGCGGUGAAAUGCGUAGAUAUCAGGAGGAAUACCGAUGGCGAAGGCAGGUCUCUGGGCUAUAACUGACGCUCAUGCACGAAAGCGUGGGGAGCAAACAGG